rnacentral:rRNA from 1 species
UGGUGGAUUGAUUUGUCUGGUUACUUCCGUUAACGAACGAGACCUUAAUCUGCUACAUAGUUACUAGGCGGGCAACUUCUUAGUAGGACUUUGUUUGUUCAACGCAAGGAAGUGUGAGGCAACAACA